rnacentral:tRNA from 1 species
UUAUAUAAUUUAAUUAAAAUAUUAAUUUUGUAAAUUAAAAAUACUAAAAUAGUUAUAAAUA